GAUGAACGCUGGCGGCGUGCCUAAUACAUGCAAGUCGAGCGAACGGACGAGAAGCUUGCUUCUCUGAUGUUAGCGGCGGACGGGUGAGUAACACGUGGAUAACCUACCUAUAAGACUGGGAUAACUUCGGGAAACCGGAGCUAAUACCGGAUGAUAUUUUGAACCGCAUGGUUCAAAAGUGAAAGACGGUCUUGCUGUCACUUAUAGAUGGAUCCGCGCUGCAUUAGCUAGUUGGUAAGGUAACGGCUUACCAAGGCAACGAUGCAUAGCCGACCUGAGAGGGUGAUCGGCCACACUGGAACUGAGACACGGUCCAGACUCCUACGGGAGGCAGCAGUAGGGAAUCUUCCGCAAUGGGCGAAAGCCUGACGGAGCAACGCCGCGUGAGUGAUGAAGGUCUUCGGAUCGUAAAACGCUGUUAUUAGGGAAGAACAUAUGUGUAAGUAACUGUGCACAUCUUGACGGUACCUAAUCAGAAAGCCACGGCUAACUACGG
rnacentral:rRNA from 1 species